GGCGUAAAGGGUUUGUAGGCUGCUUUGAAAGUCUUAACUUUAAUAUAGCCAAAGUAAAGUUAGAUCAAUUAAAGCUAGAAUCAAAUAGAGGUUAUAUUGAAUAAUACUUAGAGGAGGGAUUAAAUCCGUAGAUCCUAAGGAGAAUACUAAGGGCGAAAGCAUUUUACCACUAAUGAUUGACGCUGAGAAACGAAGGUGAGGAUAGGAAAUAGGAUUAGAUACCCCGGUACCCCUCUCUGUCAACGAUGAAUGGUAGCCUAGUUACAAAACUAGGCGAUGUUAACACGUUAACCAUUCCGCCUUGUGAGUACGAUUGCAAAAUUGAAAACAAAAAAAUUAGU
rnacentral:rRNA from 1 species